GAUGAACGCUAGCGGCAGGCUUAACACAUGCAAGUCGAGGGGCAGCGCGGGUAGCAAUACCUGGCGGCGACCGGCGAAAGGGUGAGUAACGCGUGAGCAACGUGCCCGUAUGUGGGGGAUAGUCGAUGGAAACGUCGCGUAAUACCCCGUAACACAAAUUCCCGCAUGAGGAUUUGUUGAAAGAUUUAUUGCAUACGGAUCGGCUCGCGUGCCAUUAGGUAGACGGCGGGGUAACGGCCCACCGUGCCAUCGAUCCUUAGGGGUUCUGAGAGGAAGGUCCCCCACACUGGUACUGAGACACGGACCAGACUCC
rnacentral:rRNA from 1 species